AGUGGCGAACGGGUGAGUAACGCGUAAGCAAUCUGCCCCUAAGACGAGGAUAACAGUUGGAAACGACUGCUAAGACUGGAUAGGAGACAAGAAGGCAUCUUCUUGUUUUUAAAAGACCUAGCAAUAGGUAUGCUUAGGGAGGAGCUUGCGUCACAUUAGUUAGUUGGUGGGGUAAAGGCCUACCAAGACUAUGAUGUGUAGCCGGGCUGAGAGGUUGAACGGCCACAUUGGGACUGAGACACGGCCCAAACUCCUACGGGAGGCAGCAGUAGGGAAUUUUCGGCAAUGGAGGAAACUCUGACCGAGCAACGCCGCGUGAACGAUGAAGUAUUUCGGUACGUAAAGUUCUUUUAUUAGGGAAGAAUAAAUGAUGGAAAAAUCAUUCUGACGGUACCUAAUGAAUAAGCCCCGGCUAACUAUGUGCCAGCAGCCGCGGUAAUACAUAGGGGGCAAGCGUUAUCCGGAAUUAUUGGGCGUAAAGGGUGCGUAGGCGGUUAAAUAAGUUUAUGGUCUAAGUGCAAUGCUCAACAUUGUGAUGCUAUAAAAACUGUUUAGCUAGAGUAAGAUAGAGGCAAGUGGAAUUCCAUGUGUAGUGGUAAAAUGCGUAAAUAUAUGGAGGAACACCAGUAGCGAAGGCGGCUUGCUGGGUCUUUACUGACGCUGAGGCACGAAAGCGUGGGGAGCAAACAGGAUUAGAUACCCUGGUAGUCCACGCCGUAAACGAUGAGUACUAAACGUUGGGUAAAACCAGUGUUGAAGUUAACACAUUAAGUACUCCGCCUGAGUAGUACGUACGCAAGUAUGAAACUUAAAGGAAUUGACGGGACUCCGCACAAGCGGUGGAUCAUGUUGUUUAAUUCGAAGGUACCCGAAAAACCUCACCAGGUCUUGACAUGCUUCUGCAAAGCUGUAGAAACACAGUGGAGGUUAUCAGUUGCACAGGUGGUGCAUGGUUGUCGUCAGCUCGUGUCGUGAGAUGUUGGGUUAAGUCCCGCAACGAGCGCAACCCUUAUUGUUAGUUACCAGCACGUAAUGGAGGGGACUUUAGCAAGACUGCCAGUGAUAAAUUGGAGGAAGGUGGGGACGACGUCAAAUCAUCAUGCCCCUUAUGACCUGGGCUACAAACGUGAUACAAUGGCUGUUACAAAGGGUAGCUGAAGCGCAAGUUUUUGGCGAAUCUCAAAAAAACAGUCUCAGUUCGGAUUGAAGUCUGCAACUCGACUUCAUGAAGUUGGAAUCGCUAGUAAUCGCGAAUCAGCAUGUCGCGGUGAAUACGUUCUCGGGGUUUGUACACACCGCCCGUCAAACCACGAAAGUUGGUAAUACCCAAAGCCGGUGGCCUAACUUCGCAAGAAGAGGGAACCGUCUAAGGUAG
rnacentral:rRNA from 1 species